rnacentral:lncRNA from 1 species
GUUGAUUUUAAGUCCUGGAUACGAAAUGUAAAUAGAAAUGAAAUUAUAAAAUAUAAUGAAUAAUAAAACACAGAUAAUUAAUGUCUAAAAUAUCAAAAUUGAGAAUUAAAUAUUAAAGUCCUAAGUAUUAAACGAAGCUGCUUUUUCCACUGUCACAUAUGCCUCUCCUCCCAAUUAAGUCCGUCCUCGGACUUAGCACUAUCUGAAUCGGCCUCCUCUGCGGUUGUUAUAGUGUCUGUUGUUGU